GACGAACGCUGGCGGCGUGCUUAACACAUGCAAGUCGAACGGAAAGGCCCUGCUUGCAGGGUACUCGAGUGGCGAACGGGUGAGUAACACGUGGGUGAUCUGCCCUGCACUUCGGGAUAAGCCUGGGAAACUGGGUCUAAUACCGGAUAGGAGCCAUUUUUAGUGUGACGGUUGGAAAGUUUUUUCGGUGUAGGAUGAGCUCGCGGCCUAUCAGCUUGUUGGUGGGGUAAUGGCCUACCAAGGCGGCGACGGGUAGCCGGCCUGAGAGGGUGGACGGCCACAUUGGGACUGAGAUACGGCCCAGACUCCUACGGGAGGCAGCAGUGGGGAAUAUUGCACAAUGGGCGCAAGCCUGAUGCAGCGACGCCGCGUGGGGGAGGACGGCCUUCGGGUUGUAAACUCCUUUCGCUAGGGACGAAGCUUUUUGUGACGGUACCUAGAUAAGAAGCACCGGCUAACUACGUG
rnacentral:rRNA from 1 species